GACGAACGCUGGCGGCAUGCCUAAUACAUGCAAGUCGAGCGAACAGAUGAAGUGCUUGCAUUUCUGACGUUAGCGGCGAACGGGUGAGUAACACGUAAGGAAUCUACCUAUAAGCGGGGGAUAACAUUCGGAAACGGGUGCUAAUACCGCAUAAUAUCUUCUUCCGCAUGGAAGAAGAUUGAAAGACGGCCCUGCUGUCACUUAUAGAUGACCUUGCGGUGCAUUAGUUAGUUGGUGGGGUAAUGGCCUACCAAGACGAUGAUGCAUAGCCGACCUGAGAGGGUGAUCGGCCACAUUGGGACUGAGACACGGCCAAAACUCCUACGGGAGGCAGCAGUAGGGAAUCUUCCGCAAUGGGCGAAAGCCUGACGGAGCAAUGCCGCGUGAGUGAAGAGGGCCUUCGGGUCGUAAAACUCUGUUAUAAGAGAAGAACAAAUUGUAGAGUAACUGCUACAGUCUUGACGGUAUCUUAUCAGAAAGCCACGGCUAACUACGUGCCAGCAGCCGCCGUAA
rnacentral:rRNA from 1 species